AUGGAGACACUUGAGAUUGAAGGAGAGUCAGGCAUGCAGUCAAUGGCACCGCUCAGUAAUUUGAAAUCCCUAAGAAGACUAGAUGUCAGAAGAUGCAGCAUCAGGUGCCAUGGACUGCAGGACCUCGCGUGCCUCCAAUCACUUACAGUAAAAGAAUGUGGCAACUUCUUUCUGCGGCCCAUCGAAGCAGCUCACACCAUCAUUACAGAUGUAUCACACAUUUCAAUGACAGAGCUGACCAAUCUGAAAUCCCUAAGAAGACUAGAUGUCAGAAGAUGCAGCUUCACGUGCCAUGGACUCCAGGACCUCUCGUGCCUCCAAUAUCUUACAGUAUACAACUGUGGCAACUUCUUUCCAUGGCAUACCGAAGCAGCUCACACCAUCAAGCUUUUCCCUGCUUCCCUGGAGACACUUGAGAUUGAAGGAGAGUCAGGCAUGCAGUCAAUGGCACCGCUCAGCAAUCUGAAAUCCCUAAGAAGACUAGAUGUCAGAAGAUGCAGCAUCAGGUGCCAUGGACUGCAGGACCUCGCGUGCCUCCAAUCACUUACAGUAAAAGAAUGUGGCAACUUCUUUCUGCGGCCCAUCGAAGCAGCUCACACCAUCAUCAAUCCUUUGCCUUCUUCCCUCGAGGAACUUGAGAUUGAUGGAGAGUCAAGCAUGGAGUCAAUGGCUCUGCUCUCGAACCUCACUUGUCUCACCGAUCUUGUACUGGUGAACUCUGAGAAUUUAACAGUGGAUGGUUUUAAUCCUCCCAUCACAGUCAACCUCAACAGUUUGAAGAUGUACAACAGAGGAAAUUGUCUUAACCGUUCUAUAUCAGCGGAUUUGUUCUCGGAAUUGGUGGUAGCAAGGACCAACCUGUUAUCGCCUGCAGACAACUGUCAACUACGAGAACUUACAGUGGAUUGCAUCUCAGCAGUGCUUGUGGCUCCCAUCUGUAGCCUCCUUGCCGCUACCCUCCACACUUUAGAAUUCUGGUAUGAUCACCGGGCAGAAAGCUUCACGGAAGAGGAAGAGAGAGCUCUUCAGCUCCUCACCUCACUCCGUUUCAUCAAUUUUAUGGAUUGCCCUAAUCUGUUGUGCCUUCCUCAAGGCCUACACAGCCUUCCUUCUCUUAAGACACUAUUUGUCCAAGAUUGUCCUAAAAUCCAAUCUCUGCACAAGGGGGACUUUCCCACUUCACUGGAGUGUCUAUUAGUGCAGGGUUGCAGUCCCGGGCUACAAGAGCAAGCCAAGCAAUUAAAAGGAACAAAACCAGAUUUUAAUGUGAUACUUGAACUUGAGUAG
rnacentral:rRNA from 1 species